UAGACAGAUUAUUGUAUUCGACUGUAUUUACGGCGUGAAAUGGGGGAUUACACUAUUUUUAAAACGGAAAGUGAAUCAAUUAACAUAAUAGACUCCU
rnacentral:pre_miRNA from 1 species